CAAGCACCUCGUUAGGUGAGGCGUCUACACGGAUAUAGGCCACUGACCCCGAACGUCGAAAGACGCCCCGGGUCAGGACAGCUCCUCCCGGAUUAAGGGUUGAGCCCAAGUGGCUUCCGGCCUGCGAUCUUUGCGCAGGCACGGACACGCCGUGUGGUGCCGAAGCUCUGACGAGAGGGGUGCGAA
rnacentral:sRNA from 2 species